rnacentral:rRNA from 1 species
CAGCAGCCGCGGUAAUACGAAGGGGGCUAGCGUUGUUCGGAAUUACUGGGCGUAAAGGGCGCGUAGGCGGCCAUUCAAGUUAGAUGUGAAAGCCCUGGGCUCAACCUAGGAAUUGCAUUUGAUACUGUUUGGCUUGAGUUCGGGAGAGGUGAGUGGAAUUCCCAGUGUAGAGGUGAAAUUCGUAGAUAUUGGGAAGAACACCAGUGGCGAAGGCGGCUCACUGGACCGACACUGACGCUGAGGCGCGAAAGCGUGGGGAGCAAACAGGAUUAGAUACCCCAGUAGUCCCUGUCUCUUAUCC